rnacentral:ncRNA from 1 species
AAAGAUAGAGGCGCGGCAUUUAAGAGUACUCCCGUUCAAUGACAGGCAUCAGAAUCGGAGGAAAGGAACUGCCGCCGAAGCUGAAAGCCUGCCUGGGGUUUUCUUGCUGGGGUUUUACAGAAUAUGUACUGCCCUGUCACAUGUGUGGAGCGCUAUCAG